rnacentral:rRNA from 1 species
UACGAAGGUGGCAAGCGUUACUCGGAUUUACUAGGCGUAAAGGGCAGGUAGGUGGUCUGAUAAGUCUGCUGUGUAAGCUCCCGGCUUAACUGGGAGAGGUCAGCGGAAACUGUCAGGCUUGAGUAUGGGAGAGGGUACUGGAAUUCCCGGUGUAGCGGUGAAAUGCGCAGAUAUCGGGAGGAACACCAAUGGCGAAAGCAGGUACCUGGACCAUUACUGACACUCAGCUGCGAAAGCUAGGGGAGCAAACAGG